CUGCUCCCCGGAGUUCCCUUCUAGCACUUCACUUGGGCUACUUAAUUGAGAUACAUUCUUGUCCCGGUUUUAAGUACUUUCCGAGAUCUAUGUUUCGAUUUCCAUGCCAUACUAGUAGGCUCAUGGCCCUACUGAAGUGUUUGGGGGAACUCCGGUUAACAC
rnacentral:pre_miRNA from 1 species